rnacentral:rRNA from 1 species
UGGGGAAUCUUGCGCAAUGCGCGAAAGCGUGACGCAGCAACGCCGCGUGGGGGAAGACGGCCUUCGGGUUGUAAACCCCUUUCAGGAGGGACGAAGGUUCACCGGUGAAUAGCCGUGUGGAUUGACGGUACCUCCAGAAGAAGCUCCGGCUAACUACGUGCCAGCAGCCGCGGUAAUACGUAGGGAGCAAGCGUUGUCCGGAAUCAUUGGGCGUAAAGCGCGCGUAGGCGGCCUCAUAAGUCCGUUGUGAAAGUCAAAGGCUCAACCUUUGAAAGCCGAUGGAUACUGUGAGGCUAGAGUUCGGAAGAGGCGAGUGGAAUUCCUGGUGUAGCGGUGGAAUGCGCAGAUAUCAGGAGGAACACCAAUAGCGAAGGCAGCUCGCUGGGACGAUACUGACGCUAAGGCGCGAAAGCGUGGGGAGCGAACAGG